ensembl:misc_RNA 7SK 7SK RNA
GGGUAUGAGGGAAAACUAGCUGUGACAUCUGUCAACACAUUGAUUUCCAGGGUUGAUACAGAUGGUCUGAGCUAAUCCCUGGUCUCCCUCACCACUCCAUUUGUGUCCCAUCCAAAGUGAAUGACCUUCUAAAAGAGGACCAGUCAUGAAGGGUAUUUAAAAGGUGUAUAUCUUUGCUAUAAUUUCUAGACAUGCUCAUAAUUUAUUCAAAAACAGAUAAACCUGCAGAACAAAUAGACAAACUUUAGUUGGGAUGAUUCCUUUUCCU